GACGAACGCUGGCGGCGUGCCUAAUACAUGCAAGUCGAACGAGAGCAACCGGUGCUUGCCCUGGUCAAUCUAGUGGCGAACGGGUGAGUAACACGUGGGUAACCUGCCCAUCAGAGGGGGAUAACAUCCGGAAACGGAUGCUAAAACCGCAUAGGUCUUCGAACCGCAUGGUUUGAAGAGGAAAAGGGGCGCAAGCUUCUGCUGAUGGAUGGACCCGCGGUGCAUUAGCUAGUUGGUGAGGUAACGGCUCACCAAGGCCGUGAUGCAUAGCCGACCUGAGAGGGUGAUCGGCCACAUUGGGACUGAGACACGGCCCAAACUCCUACGGGAGGCAGCAGUAGGGAAUCUUCCGCAAUGGACGCAAGUCUGACGGAGCAACGCCGCGUGAGUGAAGAAGGUUUUCGGAUCGUAAAACUCUGUUGUUAGAGAAGAACAAGUGCUAGAGUAACUGUUAGCGCCUUGACGGUAUCUAACCAGAAAGCCACGGCUAACUACGUG
rnacentral:rRNA from 1 species